rnacentral:misc_RNA from 1 species
ACAUUGGAAUUUGAACAAGAACCAUGGGAUAACAUGAAUUUCCAAUCUCAACAUCAUCUUUUAAAGAUUCCCAUUUAUAACGUUUAUCUGGUUUUCGACCAAACAUUUUCACUAGCGUAAUCACAAUCCCCAUAUACACUCUCUCAAUGAAGAGCAAAAUCGACAUUAACAGACACAAAAACACCGCGAUUCUAAGAAGUGGAACAAUUAACGGAGCUUUAAUCUGUUCCCAAAUUAUUGUCCAUUGCUCUGUUAAAUCAUCUCUUGUACCGGCUAGUGUAUCAGGAAACAGAGUCGUCGACGAAAACCGAUCCAUUUUAGUAAAACAGAGCAGAAACAGGGGAGAAAAGAGCUUCUUUAAAACUAAAAAAAAAACAGAGUAAAACAGAACAAAAACAGGGGAGGGUUUUAACUAAAGCAAAAAGUGAAAAUAAUGUGUUUUUUCUGGGAUUUUUUGUGUCUAGAUGAAGCAAAACAAUGGUGGAAUGUCAGAAACACAAAAAAAAAAA